rnacentral:rRNA from 1 species
GACGAACGCUGGCGGCGUGCUUAACACAUGCAAGUCGAACGGAAAGGCCCUGCUUUUGUGGGGUGCUCGAGUGGCGAACGGGUGAGUAACACGUGAGUAACCUGCCCUUGACUUUGGGAUAACUUCAGGAAACUGGGGCUAAUACCGGAUAGGAGCUCCUGCCGCAUGGUGGGGGUUGGAAAGUUUCGGCGGUUGGGGAUGGACUCGCGGCGUAUCAGCUUGUUGGUGGGGUAGUGGCUUACCAAGGCUUUGACGGGUAGCCGGCCUGAGAGGGUGACCGGCCACAUUGGGACUGAGAUACGGCCCAGACUACUACGGGAGGCAGCAGUGGGGAAGAUUGCACAAUGGGCGGAAGCCUGAUGCAGCAACGCCGCGUGCGGGAUGACGGCCAUCGGGUUGUAAACCGCUUUCGCCUGUGACGAAGCGUGAGUGACGGUAAUGGGUAAAGAAGCACCGGCUAACUACGUG